rnacentral:ncRNA from 2 species
CCGCAACAUCAAGAGUCGGGCCGACGCCCGGCACCAACCUGCUCCCGGGCAAGGUGGUGCCUCGUUUCAAACGAGGGAUGUGGCCGGACCGGCAACAAACGGGUAUCCA